rnacentral:lncRNA from 1 species
GAUAGCCAAGCUAAAAACAGUAACCGGCAGCUUCAAAUGGCACAGGCAGCAAAGGUAGAAGGGCCUAAAAACAGCAUGCCACUCUAAGCCAUCUGCCAUCUUGGCCCGCCCUGGCUCCCCUCAUCGCUGCAAUGAUGGACGUCUUAGUGCCAUGCGUGGAGAGAACUCUAGAGCGGUGAGCAUCAGUCAGCUCAGUGUCUUGGGUUGGAAGAGCAGGACUGUGUGGGGAGGGGGAGGGGAGGGUUGGCUGCCUCCUACACUCAGUGGCCCACUCACUGUCUGGCUCAAGGUCUCAAUAUCUUUCCAGAAAAGGUGACAGAGGCAGGGGAAGUCUAAAUGAGCAGCAUGGGAAAGCUAUGCUGCCCACAAGCAGAGGUGUCUGAGAGUUCCAGCAGGUUUGAGAGUAAACAUUCACCCCCUUCACUAAAGCUAUGGUAGGCAAGGAAGAAAUGCCAGGUUUACUCAGAGAACAACAACUGAGAUUCAUUUCUUCUAUGAAAAGACCAAGGAUCUUCUUAGCUAUACUCUUGUCCUACAAGCACCAUCUCACAGUCACCUCGUCCAGAGAGCUGCUCAGCCCACCCCUCACCAUGCCUGAGUCACGUCCUGCAUGUGUGGACCAACAGCCUCACCGUGCUGUAUUGAAAUUUCCUUCUUGACCAUUUUCCCCAUUAGGCAGAUCUCCUUGAAGGCAGGAACUAUACCUUGCUUGACCCUUCACAGGAAAUGACCCAGUAUUUCAUGCAUGGUGGGUACUCAGUGUUGGUUUUUAAAUGGUUGAAGAAGUAAGUGCAACCUUUACAUUGACAAGACCUCUAUAAUUUUGUAGCUAAACGGUUCUCUUAAUGUGAAUCUGCUUUGUCUCUGUCUUGAGACUAGAAUCUCCUUGAGGAAAGGCACUUGUCUUUUCUUUAAUAUACAGCCAGCUGUGGGUAUCCUUUUGGGCCCCAUGUUGUCUUUUGAGAUUUCAUGUGCAGAUUCACUAACCAACUUAUGGACUCUCAAGGUCAAUGUAGUAUUAGAAUAUUAUGGGGAUCACUCAUUUAAUUAUGAAUCUGAUUUCUAAAGGAAUUGAAGUAGAUUAUAUACACAGAGAGAUUAAGAAAAACAAGAGAGGAAAUUAAUGAAAACCUAAGAAUGGAAAACAGGGUGAAACCUAGGGUGAAUUAUAAGUAACAUGAUGCCCUGAUAUGUAUACUUUUCAAAAUGGAAUGCAAUUUGAUUCUGAGCUUCCAAGGAAAAAAGUAAAUGUGAACAAUUACACAAAUUGCAAUAUCCAAAAGUUAAAUAAAGAAAAGAAAGAGCUUUGAAUCCAGUGUCAAUCACAUGCAUCUUGGGCACAACCCCACUGAGGAGGAACCCCACUCCCACCAAUGAAAUCAUAGGCCAAAGUGCACAUUCUUGCCAACACGAGAUGGAGGGUGCCAUGCUUCUGUUUGAAGCAUGAUAGGUUACCACAAAAUCUAAAAAGGAGAGGCAGAAAUAAGAGUCAAAAGCUAAUAAAAAUUCCUCUGCACCCCAUCAAUUUUUGUCAUUGUGAUCCAUCCACAUGUCCCAUCUGGCCUAGCACAGUGCAGACCCUUUGCUCCCCAUGGCCUUGAACAGAUUCACUCCAGCAGGAAACACAAAGAAAGCUCUAUUUGGAAAGGGAGCUGACCUUGUAUGAGAGUCUCCCCAGAGCAUGUGUUCCAAACUAUCUCUUCUCUUGUCCCUGACCUGAACCUACCUACUCAUCCAUUAGUAGCUCCCUUGCCUAGCUCUAUGAGGCUUGGGUCCUUCUAGUUCUUAAAUACCUUUCUGGUUUCUUCUCUACCACUCUGCCUUGCCCUGCAGAAUUUCACAUCAUCUCUCCUGACCUUUCUGGGUUCUGAUCGUCUGAACUCAGAGGGUGUGUGUGUGUGUGUGUGUUUCUGCUUCUAAGCUAGCCUCAGGACCACUCAACCCCCAAAUUCCUUGUCUUUCCAGGGCUAUCCUUCUGCUGAAGACCAUCCUUCUUGGUGGAAUCCAAUCUGCUGAAAAGUUGGAACCAACACUUGGUUCUACAGACUAAAAUACAGUGCAAAAAAAAAGUUUAACUGGGAGCAAACGAUUUCUUAAGUGCUCAUGACCACCACGAGAGAUUGAGUGGUACUUACAAGAGUGCUUUGAGAUUUAGGAGGAAAGAAUAAAAAAAAAAAAAAGAAGAGAGAGGGGUGGGGGAAGAGGAGUGGGGAAAGAAGAAGUGUAGGAGAG